GCCCAAGUAGCUCAGAGGUAGAGCGUUUCCUUGGUAAGGAAGAGGUCACGGGUUCAAAUCCCGUCUUGGGCUCCA
rnacentral:tRNA from 1 species